GGAAAUAUGGUUGAGUGGUUCAAGGAAUAGCAUUGGAACUUCUAUGUAGGAUUCUGCUUAAUGAGGGUUUGAAUCCCUCUCUUUCCA
rnacentral:tRNA from 1 species